ACCCCUGUGAGAAUGCCCUACCAAUUUCCUCCAACAAAUCAAUGGAGCAGGCAUUAGGCACAACACUAGUUAGCCCACAACGCCUUGUUUAGCCACACCCCCAAGGGUACUCAGCAGUAAUAGAUAUUAAGCAAUAAGUGUAAACUUGACUUAAUCAAAACCAAGAGGGCCGGUAAAACUCGUGCCAGCUACCGCGGUUAUACGAAUGGGCCCAAGUCGAAAAGCAUCGGCGUAAAAUGUGGAAUAUAAAACACUAUACUAAAGCCAAACUACUUCAAAGCCGUAAUACGCAUUCGAAAAAAAGAGGCUCUUCCACGAAAGUGGCUUUAAAUAUUUAGACCACGAAAGCUGGGAAACAAACUGGGAUUAGAUACCCCACUAUGCCCAGCCCUAAACAUAAGUGACUUCACACACCACUCACUUGCCUGGGGAUUACGAGCACUAGCUUAAAACCCAAAGGACUUGGCGGUGCUUCAGACCCACCUAGAGGAGCCUGUUCUAGAACCGAUAAUCCCCGUUUAACCUCACCCUCUCUUGUUAUUUCC
rnacentral:rRNA from 1 species